rnacentral:sRNA from 1 species
GUGGAGUACCUGCUGUUCAUCACUCCCACCAAUAUUUUUUGAGAAGUAUUUCAUUUAAAAAAGAUAAAAAUAGUGAAGUUUCCAAGUAGACUGUCCUCUCAAUUUUUUUUUUAUCCUAAUUUAAAACCUUAGUUGACGAGAACAUCAGUGGAAUACAGUAUUCCACUUGUUUGGAUUUUCUGAUUUUAAAGACCUUUUGGUACAUUUUGGGAGAAUUGGAUACUCUGAAGUUUGAGAUGAAUGACCACUCACUAGCUAGUUUAGAAAUUGUUUUUGUAAUAAGUCAUAUAGAAUGCUGUUUGAAUACUUUCAUUUACCUUUAUUCUAGAAAUGGGAUCUAGGAGAUAGUGAAAAGGAUUUGCUGAGGAUUUUGCUUAACUGAAUUCAUAUUUUCACUUUAGUCUUCCUAGAAGCAUACUCUUUAUUCUGGGUUCUAGGUUGGGAUUCACGUGAAUCAGUUGGUUCCAACUAAUCUGAACCCUUCCACAUGUCCCAGUCGCCCAUCAGUUCAGUCAAGCCACUUUCCUGGUGGGUCGUACUCUGUCCGUGAUGUCUUCCAAGUUCAGAAAGCUAAGAAAUCCACAGAAGAGGAGCACAAAGAAGUAUUUCGGGCCGCUGUGGAUCUGGAAAUAUCAUCUGUUUCUAGAACUUGCACUUUCUUGCCACCUUUUCCUGCACAUCUGCCAACCAGUCCUGAUACUAACAAGGCUGAGUCUUCAGGGAAAUGGAAUGGUCUACAUUCUCCUGUCAGUGUGCAGUCAAGACUUAACCUGAGUA